rnacentral:lncRNA from 1 species
CUUCAACGUUACCUUGUUUAAUUAUCUCUUUAUUAACUAAUCCCACAGUGGCCUUCAUACUUUUCCAGCGUAAAGGCUCAGAGGAAUCCCCUCAUCAAAUCUAGUCACCAGAGUCUCUACAGCACACUGUCAACACCGUUUUCAAACCCACCCACACCAAGGGGAAGAAAAAGAUCCACAGUCUCAAAUUUACUUCUCUGCUGGAUGUUUUUCAUUAGAAAUGGAAUCAACAAUGACAAGCAAAAUAUCAACAUCAUCUACUGCUUUAUUGCUAAAUAUUCAAGAAUUACGGCACUGAGGGAACACAAGAGGAAGAGUGGCUGA